rnacentral:rRNA from 1 species
GACCAGACUCCUACGGGAGGCAGCAGUGGGGAAUAUUGCACAAUGGGGGAAACCCUGAUGCAGCGACGCCGCGUGAGCGAUGAAGUAUUUCGGUAUGUAAAGCUCUAUCAGCAGGGAAGAAAAUGACGGUACCUGACUAAGAAGCCCCGGCUAACUACGUGCCAGCAGCCGCGGUAAUACGUAGGGGGCAAGCGUUAUCCGGAUUUACUGGGUGUAAAGGGAGCGUAGACGGCUGUGCAAGCCAGAUGUGAAAGCCCGGGGCUCAACCCCGGGACUGCAUUUGGAACUGUGUGGCUGGAGUGUCGGAGAGGCAGGCGGAAUUCCUAGUGUAGCGGUGAAAUGCGUAGAUAUUAGGAGGAACACCAGUGGCGAAGGCGGCCUGCUGGACGAUGACUGACGUUGAGGCUCGAAAGCGUGGGGAGCAAACAGGAUUAGAUACCCGUGUACAU